GCAAUGUAGACACCGUGGGCGGUCACUCUCUCCAGGCUCUGUCUAGCUGGUGUAGGAGAGCACAGGGCUCUGCCACAUAUUGUACAGUCCCUUUUCACAAUGUUGCAGAUGAAGCUGGGCUUUGUGUCUGUAUUUGCAUAUUCCUAUAGCAUCUCAGAUUCUUUUGGGUCUGAGGAGACAAACCAUGUAGAAAACAUGU